UACGAGAGGUGCAAGCGUUAUUCGGAAUUAUUGGGCGUAAAGGGUGCGUAGGCGGUAUGUUAAGUUUGUUGUUAAAUCCUCUGGCCUAACUGGAGGGCUGCAAUGAAAACUGGCGUACUAGAGUGUGAGAGAGAGAAGUGGAAUUCCCGGAGUAGCGGUAAAAUGCGUAGAUCUCGGGAGGAACAUCAGUGGCGAAGGCGGCUUCUUGGCUCACUACUGACGCUGAGGCACGAAAGCGUGGGGAGCAAACAGG
rnacentral:rRNA from 1 species